rnacentral:rRNA from 1 species
GAUGAACGCUGGCGGCGUGCCUAAUACAUGCAAGUCGAGCGAACAGACGAGGAGCUUGCUCCACUGACGUUAGCGGCGGACGGGUGAGUAACACGUGGAUAACCUACCUAUAAGACUGGGAUAACUUCGGGAAACCGGAGCUAAUACCGGAUAAUAUAUUGAACCGCAUGGUUCAAUAGUGAAAGACGGUUUUGCUGUCACUUAUAGAUGGAUCCGCGCCGCAUUAGCUAGUUGGUAAGGUAACGGCUUACCAAGGCAACGAUGCGUAGCCGACCUGAGAGGGUGAUCGGCCACACUGGAACUGAGACACGGUCCAGACUCCUACGGGAGGCAGCAGUAGGGAAUCUUCCGCAAUGGGCGAAAGCUUGACGGAGCAACGCCGCGUGAGUGAUGAAGGUCUUCGGAUCGUAAAACUCUGUUAUUAGGGAAGAACAAAUGUGUAAGUAACUAUGCACGUCUUGACAGUACCUAAUCAGAAAGCCACGGCUAACUACGUG